rnacentral:rRNA from 1 species
UGAUUGAGCCGCAUGGUUCAAUUAUAAAAGGUGGCUUUCAGCUACCACUUACAGAUGGACCCGCGGCGCAUUAGCUAGUUGGUGAGGUAACGGCUCACCAAGGCGACGAUGCGUAGCCGACCUGAGAGGGUGAUCGGCCACACUGGGACUGAGACACGGCCCAGACUCCUACGGGAGGCAGCAGUAGGGAAUCUUCCGCAAUGGACGAAAGUCUGACGGAGCAACACCGCGUGAGUGAUGAAGGUUUUCGGAUCGUAAAACUCUGUUGUUAGGGAAGAACAAGUACCGUUCGAAUAGGGCGGCACCUUGACGGUACCUAACCAGAAAGCCACGGCUAACUACGUGCCAGCAGCCGCGGUAAUACGUAGGUGGCAAGCGUUGUCCGGAAUUAUUGGGCGUAAAGCGCGCGCAGGCGGUUUCUUAAGUCUGAUGUGAAAGCCCCCGGCUCAACCGGGGAGGGUCAUUGGAAACUGGGGAACUUGAGUGCAGAAGAGGAGAGUGGAAUUCCACGUGUAGCGGUGAAAUGCGCAGAGAUGUGGAGGAACACCAGUGGCGAAGGCGACUCUCUGGUCUGUAACUGACGCUGAGGCGCGAAAGC